GAAUUCACUAGUGAUUCAGGCCUAACACAUGCAAGUCGCACGGACGUAGCAAUACGUUAGUGGCGCACGGGAGAGUAACACGUGGGAAUCUACCUUUUAGUUCGGAACAACACCGGGAGACUGGUGCUAAUACCGGAUACGCCCCGAGGGGGAAAGAUUUAUCGCUAAAAGAGGAGCCCGCGUCUGAUUAGCUAGUUGGUGAGGUAAUGGCUCACCAAGGCGACGAUCAGUAGCUGGUCUGAGAGGACGAUCAGCCUCACUGGGACUGAGACACGGCCCAGACUCCUACGGGAGGCAGCAGUGGGGAAUAUUGGACAAUGGGGGAAACCCUGAUCCAGCAAUGCCGCGUGAGUAAUGAAGGUCUUCGGAUUGUAAAGCUCUUUUGGCAGGGACGAUGAUGA
rnacentral:rRNA from 1 species